GAUGAACGCUGGCGGCGUGCCUAAUACAUGCAAGUCGAGCGAACAGAUAAGGAGCUUGCUCCUUUGACGUUAGCGGCGGACGGGUGAGUAACACGUGGGUAACCUACCUAUAAGACUGGGAUAACUUCGGGAAACCGGAGCUAAUACCGGAUAACAUUUGGAACCGCAUGGUUCUAAAGUGAAAGAUGGUUUUGCUAUCACUUAUAGAUGGACCCGUGCCGUAUUAGCUAGUUGGUAAGGUAACGGCUUACCAAGGCGACGAUACGUAGCCGACCUGAGAGGGUGAUCGGCCACACUGGAACUGAGACACGGUCCAGACUCCUACGGGAGGCAGCAGUAGGGAAUCUUCCGCAAUGGGCGAAAGCCUGACGGAGCAACGCCGCGUGAGUGAUGAAGGGUUUCGGCUCGUAAAACUCUGUUAUUAGGGAAGAACAAAUGUGUAAGUAACUGUGCACGUCUUGACGGUACCUAAUCAGAAAGCCACGGCUAACUACGUG
rnacentral:rRNA from 1 species